GUAUAAGAGACAGCAGCCGCCACGGGAAUACAGAGGGUGCGAGCGUUAAUCGGAUUUACUGGGCGUAAAGCGUGCGUAGGCGGCUUUUUAAGUCGGAUGUGAAAUCCCUGAGCUUAACUUAGGAAUUGCAUUCGAUACUGGGAAGCUAGAGUAUGGGAGAGGAUGGUAGAAUUCCAGGUGUAGCGGUGAAAUGCGUAGAGAUCUGGAGGAAUACCGAUGGCGAAGGCAGCCAUCUGGCCUAAUACUGACGCUGAGGUACGAAAGCAUGGGGAGCAAACAGGAUUAGAUACCCGCGUAGUCCCUGUCUCUUAUAC
rnacentral:rRNA from 1 species